GGGCCUAUAGCUCAACGGUUAGAGCGGCCGGCUCAUAACCGGUUGGUUCCGGGUUCAAAUCCUGGUGGGCCCA
rnacentral:tRNA from 1 species